rnacentral:rRNA from 1 species
AUUGAACGCUGGCGGCAUGCCUUACACAUGCAAGUCGAACGGCAGCACGGGGGCAACCCUGGUGGCGAGUGGCGAACGGGUGAGUAAUGCCUCGGAACGUACCCGUAAGUGGGGGCUAACGUAGCGAAAGUUACGCUAAUACCGCAUAUUCCGUGAGAAGGCAAGUGGGGGACCGACAGGCCUCACGCGUUCGGAGCGGCCGAUGUCGGAUUAGCUAGUUGGCGGGGUAAAGGCCCACCAAGGCGACGAUCCGUAGCGGGUCUGAGAGGAUGAUCCGCCACACUGGGACUGAGACACGGCCCAGACUCCUACGGGAGGCAGCAGUGGGGAAUUUUGGACAAUGGGCGCAAGCCUGAUCCAGCCAUGCCGCGUGAGUGAAGAAGGCCUUCGGGUUGUAAAGCUCUUUCGGCGGGGAAGAAAUUGCUUAGGUUAAUACCUUGAGUAGUUGACGGUACCCGCAUAAGAAGCACCGGCUAACUACGUGCCAGCCGCCGCCGUAACAC